rnacentral:lncRNA from 1 species
CACUACCAAUUUGUAUUUUGAUAUGAAAAAGAAUACACAGUAAAACAUUCUCCCCCUUGUGUAAUUCGUUCCCUUUUGUUGGCUUUUCUUUUAUUAACUGCUCAAUAUUCGAAGCCACAAAAGUGACAAUGUCUAAGUGAAUUGCUAUACAUAGAAUUUAAGCUUACUAAAUAAGAAAAAGUUUAUUCUCUCAAAAGCCAACAAAAACUUCUUAAUAUUCGAAGCCACUAAAACGGCUCAGUAUUUUCUAUUGGAUAUUAACAAAGCCCUUCAAGUUCAGCUAUGCGAUAUAAAACCGAGGUCCCUGUUCAAAACAUAACAGUGUCGAUUUGACGGAGGUGGUUUCAAAGAUGGUUAUUUUCAAUAUUUUCAGUAUAAACAUCGCUUAUAACAGCCUCAAACACUACACAUUACAACGAAUAUGGAAAAUCCCUUUCCUUGUCAUCUCAUCGAUAGCUUCCAACUCCAUUGCUAAAUGAAGAUAGGUUUGAGCAGGUGGUUGAAAAAAUCGGAAUAGUUGAUGGAAUAGCAGGAGAUAGUUGGAGAUGGAAAAAGGAGAUGCGCCGUCGGUGGAUUUAGUUUCAGUAGCGCCGUGGAAGAAACGGGAAAUGAUUCUAGCAUUUUCUAUCCCUGAUUUGAGGGGAGGAAAUAUUUUGGCGCUAUUCUCCAAAUUGUGGGUUUUUUUCUUCUUUUUUAUUGCCAUGUUAGCCUAUUUCAAAAUCCUAUGCAUUCCCUGUGAAAUGGAUUCUGUACGUGUAGACUAAUUCGAAUGGGUUAACCCCAAAUAUCAUCAUCGCUCUAUUAAUGGACUGG